GAUGCCGUUGAGAGGUAGGCCCCGAAACGGCGCACAUUCUCUCCUGAUGACCCCAUACACUUGCUAGCUUCCGAUAUACGGAGCUUUUAACUGGUAGCACUUGCAUGUGCAAGUUGUUUGCAAGACAACAAACCCUCAUCCAAACCUGAUCCCAAUGCUGGGUGUUCAAGAACCAAAUGAAGGGCAGAUUUUCAAUCCUGGCAUCAUCCUGAUUCCAAAAAAGGUAUAUUAUGUCUAUGUAGAGCAAAUUUAGACUGAGAUACAGGGGUCCUGGACAGAUGGACAGAUAGAAUUAUAUGUUUAUUAUUAUAGAUAAACAGCAAAUAUCCAUAAUGAAGUUAUUUUACUAAUAACACUGGUCACCAGCCAAUCUUCAUCAGGGAUAUUAUAUGGUGUUUUAUAUGUAGUUUUGUCCGCAGAUUUCAAAAAUGUAAUCGGUUUCCUUCUAUCAGGCACAGUUUUACUGAUGAGAUAAGAAAGGUAUAUAACUCCCAUUAGCUGUAUCGCUACACGUAAACGUCUUGUACAGGUAAAUUCUGACUUUGUCAAGGCUUUGCAAGAACAGUCCUGAUAUACUUUGUCAUGUCUGUGGUUCAUUUACCACCAAAGCUCAGCAACGUGCCAUCACAAGUGAAAUCAAGAAGAUCUGCCAGUUAUACUUUGGCUGCUCUCUCGGGGAACAAGAUAAGAGUUGGGCCCAGCACAUCAUCUGCUCAGUUUGUCCAAAUGGACUAAGGGAUUGGCUAAAUAAGAGGAAGAGAGCAAUGCCAUUUGCAAUACCUAUGAUAUGGAGAGAGCCAAAGGAUCAUUUCUUGGACUGUUAUUUCUGCAACAUUAAUGUAUGUGUGUUUACUGUAAAGACCAAGCAUAAGAUUGUGUAUCCCAACUUGGAAUCAGCAAGAAGACUAGUACCACACAACGAUGAUGAUCUUAUUCCAAUACCACCAGAAAAUGGCCUUCAGAUGUCUGACGAAGAUGUAUUUCCUGAAGAAAAUAUUACUGCUGUCGAAGACCCCAAAGUGGGUGCAGAUUUCACGAUUGCAAAUGAAGAUGUACCACAGAAAUUUUCUCAAGGAGAGUUAAAUGAUUUAGUUAGAGAAUUGUCAUUGUUGAAGGAUAAAGCUGAACUAUUAGCCUACAAGUAAAGUGUCUGCUUAAGAAAGAUGUUUGUAUUACUCAUUUCAGGAAGAGAAAUAGGGGUCUGACUUCAUGCUUCUCUGUUGAUGGACCACUUUGUUAUUGUUGCUUUUUAUGCCUAUAGGACAGUCGUGCAACUAACAAGCACUCAGAGUGGCCUUUGCCAAAAUCAUAUGAGCCAAGAGUUUCUAGCGUCCAGAGUAAGCCACUUUUAAACCCAGAAAAUGUUCUUCUUCUCCCUCUUCACAUAAAGCUUGGCCUCGUGAAACAAUUCGUGAAGACACUUGCCAAGAAAAGCUCAAAAGGUUUUGAAUACGUGAAGGCUAAAUUUCCAAAAAUCACCGAGGCAAAACUGAAGGAGGACGUAUUCAUAGGUCCGCAGAUAAAAGAACUCCUGAAGGACAACCACUUCUUCACAGCACUGGAUGAGAUUGAGCUUAAAGCCUGGGAAUCCUUCAAAUGGCUCUGUGAAAAUUUCCCAGGCAACAAGAGAUCUCUCGAAUUUAGAAAUGGAGUGAAAUGUCUUCUAGACUCCUACGCUGCAAUGGGCUGUUGGAUGUCACUAAAAGUCCAUUUCCUUGAUUCACAUCUGGACUUUUCUGCAGUGAACCUUGGAGAAGUGUCUGAUGAGCAAGGGGAAUGCUUUCCUCAAGAUAUUGCAUCGAUGGAACAACAAUAUCAAGGAUUUGGGAAUGCAGAAAUGCUAGCUGACUACUGUUGGAUGUUAUACAAGGAUGAACCUGAGACAAAACACAAUAGAAAGUCCAAAUCCCAAAGAUUUUAAGUUGUUAUGCAUUUUAGUGUAUUCUAACUUAUUUGUACACAAUAAUUUUAAUUUUGUACAAUAAAAAGCCAUGAAAUUAUCGUAUCUUGUAUUCAAUAUACUUUAUAUAGACAUGCUUUACGUAUCCUAUAAGUGAAAACAGCAGGUAUUAUUAACAUGAAAAUGUGACCUGAUAGAGGAAAUCGGACUUCAGAUUCGUAAUCAGCAUCAAAAAUUAACCCAGAAAAGUCAAUCAGCAACUCUGAUGAUUAAAAAAAGUUUCAUUUUGUUGACCAGUGUUUAUUUUGAAA